AGGUCUUGAGCGCUGCCCGGCCUCCUGUACGCUCUCCAUCUGGCGGCCCUGCAGGAGCCGGAGCUUGGCAGGCUGAGGAGGAGAGAUUCCUCCUCUCCCGUCUCCGAGGCUCCCUGUUUCAGUGGGUGCGGCCCAGGCUCCGGGUGGGGAGCCCUCCUGGGCAAGUUAAUCUCAUCCAAGUCUCUUCGUCAACCUCCUUCAUCAGAGGCUACGUCUUAUGGUCUUCUAGUUCCCCGACUGAACAGCCCAGCGGAGCCUGCUUCCCUGCUCUGGAGUUACAAGGCAGGGAAUAGAGGAGGAAGUGCACGCCUCGCCUUCCUGGCUCUGUUCUCCACUUCCAUGCACGGAGGGAGUUUUCCAGAGUCCCUCUAGGGAGCGAAAGGCAAGGUUCACAGGUGCGGAGACCAAGUCAGGAAGAAGGGAAAUAACCCACCUGAAGGCUCACAGCUGGUGAGUUUAGAGCCGGAACUCAGACCUGGAAGUGGACAUUAGCCCGCCCUGUCUGCCCCCGACUCUCUGCGGUUGGUUCCUGCUGCCGGAAAGCUCUGGCCUUGACUACCACUGCUCACACAAAAGGAGAUCAAGGAAUGAAGAACUGAUGGAAAGCAAGUGUCCGGACUGUCUACAGUCACAUUCGUGUGUCUUUUUACAUCAUUCCUGAUGUGUAAAUAUUUGCAAAUAGUUAAAAAGUUCAAUCUCAUAUAAAAAGCAAUUCAUUCUGAAACUCAUGUAUGAGGGACCUUCCUGUCAAUUAUCAAGUCGAAAUAACUGAGCUUUAGGUCAAGUAAUCUGUUGUGUUUAAAGAGCUCAGAGUUAGGAGACCGUUAUAGUCAUACUGUGGUCUUGGACAAAUCACCCAAGAUUUCAGGCACUGGCUGAGCAUUAGAGGAAUGGUAGCUGUGUCUGAUCAAAGGGAGACAGAAAGGGUCCUUCUCGGAAGCCCCUUGCAGUCCUGAAAUGGCAUGCUUCUGUGCACUACACUCCCUCUGCCCUUGACAGGGUCUGGGUUCAUACUCACGAGGGAUCCGAUUCGUCUAAAGUUCUACCAGGUGGCUGGUUCCCAAUUUACGAUGAGGCUCACAAUGGGCCAGAGACUGUGUUGAGCUGUGAAGUGCACUUAAUGUGCCCUGAAACCCCAAGAGUGGCUACACCACUAGCUGCUGGUUAAGUAUUUUCCUGAUGGGCCCUGACAUGCCAAUGUGGGUACCAACCAGGAGUCCAGCUCCUUGUCCACGAGCUCACUCAUGCAUUCCCACGGCAGCUGUGUGUCAGGCUGUCUGUCACUCUGUCCAUACAAGUCACUAUGGGAGGAGAUGGAAAAACAGCCAUGGACGAGACAGACCAGGCUGUGUCCUGGGGAAGCUUACAUCCUAGCUGGGGACGGGCACACAGCAGCAGUGAAACACGGACACCAAUAAGGGCAGGUGAGGUCCGAGUGAGAGAGAGAAAGAAAGCGGCCAGAGCCACCUGCCAGGGAUGAGAGAAGACGGGGUAGAGACGAGCUUUCAUGAGAGUGCUCUGCUAGGGACCACAAGACGCUUGCUGCUAUCUGAAGGAACAAUCUCUGUGGCUACUCAUGGUAAAACCAACAAUUGCCACGUAGACGGGGCGACCCAAAACCACAGUGAGUGUUUACAUUCUAAGCUGAAGAUGAAUCGCCGUUUAUCCUCCUCAGAAAUGCUCCUUACUUCAAUUGUGCUUAGCUUGUUUUCCUUGCUACUUUCUAAAGCCUCUUACAGUUAAUAUUGACAGCAACUUGUGUCAAGCAGACAGAGGACAUGUCCUCCUGUCCCUCCCUGGAUCUGACACUGUGCAACAGAUGGUUCUUCCCCUGCGGGAAAAUGACCAAAAAGGGGAAUCAGUUCAGGACAUCGAGGGAGCCUCAGAAAGGCAACUUAGAUGCUCCCAAAAGCCGUCCAGAGCUGCUUUAGAAAGUGGCUGGAACAGAGAUCAGUGGCUUGAGGCAGUAGUUUAAGGGAGCCGCAUCUUUCACUGUGACUAUUUUUAAUUUAAACGCUCACUGUAGGAAUUGAUCACAGCUUUUCCUGAGCGCCUGCCUUGUUCUUGGCACUAACACAUAUCCUUUGACUGUAUCAACUUGCUUCUUCUUCACACAGACCCUGCAGGGUGUUGUUCCCAUUUCACAGACAAGGACACAGGUCUCAUAAACUCCCCAGAGUCCUGACACAGAGCCGAGGCAGAGCAGGAGAUGCUGGCUCUCCACCGUUAUCUGCUCGGCCCGCUUCUCUCUGGAAGUGACCAGGGUGAUAUGGGAGUCAGAAGCCUGGGGACAGAGGCAGGGCAGGCGAGGUCACUAACACACAUGCUGCAGUAAGACCCUGGGACCUGCGUGAACAGCCAGUACUUAGAAUGGGAAGGAGAGCCAGGCCUGAAUGUUGGGGUGCAGUGGGGGUUGAGGUCAGGGAGGAAGAAGCAUCAGCCGAGGAGGAUGAGAAGCACGAGAGUGGGAGAUGGCAGGGGAGGAGGCAGCACUUGGAGCAAGUGGGGUUCACUGUGGUCAGAAGAAGAGAGAAAUACUUCAGAGGAGGGAGGGCGGUCCUGUGUGUGGUCUGUGGGACACAUCUGUCGGGCUGAGAGCAGAGAAGGGACGAGAGAGAGGAGCUGAAGCAGGACUGGAUCUGGGGGCGGGUUUGGGAGAACGUGUGCACAGCAAGCUUUGCAGAGCCCCGCCGUGAAGCAGGGUGUGGCAGCAGAGCUCGAGGUGUCCGGGGGAGGCAGUAGGCCAAGUCAGGGAAAUGCACGCAUCUGCGCAUCCCUGCGUCCUACCUGCCUGGCAAAGCCGGGCGAUCUGAGAGCACCUUUGGUUUCUGUGCCCCCAAAACCCAUGCACUGAAACCUCUGUGCCAUUUUCUCUCCCCUAAUUACAUGAAAUAAGAAGCAAGUAAAUAGGUUCAUUAAUUUCGAAAUGGACUCCAGAUGUGAUACUUUCGAAGCUGUAAAGCUGUGGCAGUUAUGUAGAAGCAGCCCUGGAGGCUGGGGUCAUGCUGUUGGCUUCUCCAUCGUUUCGCCUCACUCAGCCGUCACAUAGACAAAUAGGAAUUCAGGGAGUGGUAGGAGCUUCCAUUGCGUUUCAAUAAUUUUGUGCCUAGGAUGUCUGUUUUUGGACUUAGGCUUUGGCUUUGGUCUCCCCUUAGCUAUGUGACAUCUGUGCUUGGGUAAUUUCAAAAGCCAAGAAGUUGCCUCAUUAUUUGAGAAUUGGAUUCUGUAUAUGCACAGUCAAGCCUUAGUCAAAAUAGAAAUAAAAAUCGUGUUUAU